rnacentral:rRNA from 1 species
AAGACCUUGCACUUUUGGAGCGGCCGAUGUCUGAUUAGCUAGUUGGUGGGGUAAUGGCCUACCAAAGCUUCGAUCAGUAGCUGGUCUGAGAGGGCGGCCAGCCACACUGGGACUGAGACACGGCCCAGACUCCUACGGGAGGCAGCAGUGGGGAAUUUUGGACAAUGGGCGCAAGCCUGAUCCAGCCAUGCCGCGUGAGUGAAGAAGGCCUUCGGGUUGUAAAGCUCUUUCAGUCGGGAAGAAAAGGUUGAGACCAAUAAUCUUAACUCAUGACGGUACCGACAGAAGAAGCACCGGCUAACUACGUGCCAGCAGCCGCGGUAAUACGUAGGGUGCGAGCGUUAAUCGGAAUUACUGGGCGUAAAGGGUGCGCAGGCGGUUUUGUAAGUCAGAUGUGAAAUCCCCGGGCUUAACCUGGGAACU